UGCCCCAUGGCUGAGUUGGUUACAGCGUCCGACUGUUACUGUCCAAGUGGAAGUUCAUCGGAAGGUCGUGAGUUCGAGCCUCACUGGGGCAG